UGAUGAUAAUGGACAGAACCUCUGAAACUAGAGCAGACCUGACCUUUCAUUCCUAUAUAACCUCAGAGAACAACAUCAAGGUGGAGCCUCCCUGAGGCAGGUACGCUACUGGUCCCUCCAUCUAUGAUGGCCUCCUCUCACAUGAAGCAGAAACCUGGUAUUCUGGUGGAAUUAAUCAGGACACCAAGCAGCCAAAACAACAUGGAAAACAGAACACAGUUCAGAGUCUCAUGUUUCAAAAAAAUAACCAUAAAAAUCUGAGUUCUGCCCCCUUGCACCACAAAAACAAAGCCUGGAAAGGUAAAAAAAGAGAUGCUGCAUGUGCAAGCCCUUCAUAAGCCUCUGAGACUGUGUGAAAGCCCUCAAUAGAGAAGUCCCAGCAGCAUGUGCACUCCCGAGCUGAGCCGAGUUCUCUCCCCAGACACAAUACUGCCAAGUACUGUGGAGAGCUGAUUCAUGAAUCUGAAGACUUCAGAUAGGCUUUUCAAGCUGGAUUGAUACUGAACCAUGAUAUUUUUUUUUUAAAUCUUGAAUCAAGAAAAUCUGAGUGCUACCACAGUCUGCGCCUCGAUUCUCUUUAGUUUUCCACACAGAGAACCCUCUCAUCUGUCAACCAGCCUGCUAGUCAUGAUGCGAGCCACUUGCUGACAUAGAACCAUCCUUGUGCCUCUGAGACAAGUGCUCCCUAGUCGUGGUAUAGAGUCUGUUUCCUCCUCUGCAGGACUGCCGAACUCAUGAGCUCACAGCUGCUGCGGCCCCCACACAAGAUCAAGCCGGUCGACAUUCCAGCAUGGAGUGGGGAGAGGUUCACUAGCCCCCAUCCCUACCUGACAGCUGAUGGGACUCUAGGGGAAGGAAAGUCAGUUUUCUUUAAAGCCCAGUCACCUCAACGUACUCCAGAGUGUGUACUGCACAAGGAUGAUGGCAGGAAGCAGAAUGGCAGCAUCCCACCCUCCGUAGACAUCCUGUCGAUGUCUCUCAUCCUCUCUGUUCAGACUCCAAGAGAUGCUUCCUAAAGGUCCCCCGUCCCCUGACUUAUUGCAUCUCAGAGAAAACUCUCAGGGGUUCAGUCCCAGCUAACAGCACUGUCUUGACCACACAACAGCAGAAGCCACCAGACAUCAUUCACAGUUCUUGGCACAAGGUGAAUGAGAUAAUGAACAACUUGGGUGGAGCUAUUCUGAUUUCUGUGCUCAGUUUUCCUAUUUAUUGUUGCAAUCUGUUCAUAUUUGAUCAGUGUUGCAAACAGUUAAGUCAGAGACGCUAUUUACAGCCAUGUUCUAUUGAUAACACUUCUCGGAAGAGCAAGCGCACAUGGGGAUGAUUUUCACCGUGAGCCCGCUGUAUGGGAAAAAGAAGGGCACAGGGAAACCCGAGCUGAUGCCCUUGACAUAAGCCAGUCCACAGCUACUCAGAAGCACACCCUUCAUCUUCACAGCUUUCCUGUAAGUUUGAAGUAACACGUCAUGUGAACGGGACUAUCAUGUCUACAGCGCAGAAGCCUAUGGGAGGAGCCACAGUCCACCUGGGGACAGUUGAGCUGAUAUGGAAGGCAGCAAGUGAGGGUGCCUUGUCUGUUCUUCCCUUCUACCUCUCAGAGAAACAGCUCUGCCGUGUGUGGCCGGUGUCCCAGGCUGGUCCUUUAGCUCCUAGCAGAGCCCUCCAUCCAUUUGCCUCGUUCAUGCAGUGGCAAGCCCAGAGAGACACGUGCCCUCCUCAGGGCAAGGAGUUGUCAGUAUAGGCCCAGUGGGGCUGUAGCAAACAAAGCCUUGGACCGCCAAGGAAGCUGCAGAGGGGGAGCCAGGAAAGAACUCUACUCCCAUCACUGUAUGCGAUCAAAGGCCAUGCUCAUGACUCCUGUGCUACAGGAAGAACCCCUGUAUCUGGUAGAGAGAGAAGACCCAUGUGGCAACCUAUAGGAGCCCAGAGAUGUCCAUAAGGACUACUUCCAGACCCGGGCAUCUGAGAGACUGCUUCGGUAAAUUAAAAGGAGAGUUUCAUUUGUAUUGAUACAGAACCCUUCAAUGAAGACAGAUAAAGUUCUUUGGUCUAUUGACAUGUGGCUCCUCUCCUUUGGCUGUCAAUCAAUGCCCAAAAGAGCAGGGGAGGAAAAAAUCAAUUGUAUAAUUGUGGGAUUGAUUUGGCAGUGCCUGAUGGGAAAGGGUUUGUAUUCUAACAACACAGAUGAGCCUCUCAGGCUGGGAGUGUAGCUCUGUGGAAGAGUGCUGCCUAGCACGGGUUCAAUACCCAACACUAACAAAAGGAAAAGUAAAGCAGGAAAGGUUCCUUCAGAGACGUUGACAAACCUCAGUUUACCACGUUUGAGGACAUGCAUCCUUUAGAUGGCCAAAGUGCUCAGCAUGGAAUGCACAUGGAAUCCCCAUGGAAUGUACAGAAUGACAGGGCUACAGAUAGGAAUGGACCCGAGAGCCUGGCCUCAGGGCACACAGCUGUGGGAUGAAGGACCACAUUCUUCACCUCCGAGAGACUCAGUCAAAAGUCAAUGUAGACGGGACAGUGGCAGGGCCUGAUCUGCAGGAAGCCCUCAAUGUGUGUUGUACACACCCUGGGCUUUUAUCCGAUGACUUCUCUGACCUCGGUGACAAAUACAUUGAGCCAGCAGCACCAGCUGGGGCACUGGGAGACUCAAACACUGUCUCCAAUGCAAACACUCAGCUGUAUGCACCCCACGCCUGCUUCUGCGUAGCAAAAUGGUGAGGGUGCCCCACAUACGUUCCAUAGCUGGCACAGGCUCCAGUGGUCUCUGAAAAGGGUCACAACAUGCUGCGCGACACUUCAUUGUCACUGCAAGCAAAAUAUUAACAAAUUAUUCGUUCUCCUUCUAUCAUGCAAGUAAGAAGCCACACGAUUAUAGAAAUCUGGCAACAGUUAUAUCUGCAGUGGAGACAAGUUCAGCUUUGCCGUGAGAGAGGAGAGCUAAGAGGCCAACCUCAGCUCCCUACCUAUGCUCCCUGGUCAGCAGCCUUAGGAGGGAGACGGUAGGGAUUCGUGUUAAAGUCAGAAACGGGAAUGAAGGAACACAGCCACCAAUCCGAUCUGGAGGCUGUCAUGGGAUCUCCAGGAGAGAGAGAGAGAUGGCUGAGAAAACACGUAAAGAUAAGAAUGUGUGAAAGCAGAGAGAAACACACACACACACACACACACACACACACACACACACACACACACACUCAAAUGUAGGGAGGAAAGAGGCUUAAAAAUCCAGGUCCAAAUGCAGGCAUGAAACCAAGACUCUGCAGCGGCUUGGAAAUUCACUCCCUCUACCAGCAGCCUGCCUGCCCUCUACCCCAGGACAGGUGAGCAGUGGGAGAGAUGAGGAGCCCACCAGGAUGGAUGGAGAAAUGAGCCGCAGCUUGGGGAGAGCGCUUGGCAGAGAUUAGGAGAGCCUGCACUCAGGAGCACCAGGCGGAAGCUGCCUUUGGGAGGUUGGUGAGGAGGUUGAGGUAGGGUACAGUGGGUUGAGGAUGCCUUUCAAAGGGAAACCUAACCUCAUCAGCAACUCUCCUGCGGAUUCUUCUCCACUAAAUUCAAUCCUUUCUUUCUUGUAUAAAAAUCUAUACAGCAAGAAGUCCAUCUAGAAUUCCACCCUGCAACCCCCACCACAUGGACAUGAUCCUCCUUGAGCAUGCUCCCUAGACUUCCCAAUGCACGCUUAACAAAGGCGUUUUCUGUCAGAGCCAGCUCGCAUCCUUGUUCUGUUUUAUGAUUUGCCCUUUGUGUCUUAAGUCAGAGAUAUCUUUCCCCAUGAAAAUAUGUCUUCCCAGACCUUCAUCCUUACUGGUCAUGUGUCACAUGGACAGAUCAUCACCAGUUAAUCAAUUCGCCAUUGCGGGACAUUUAUGUUGCUUCUACUAACUCUAGCAUUAUAAAUAAUGCUUUGACCGAGGACAUCACAUAGGCAGCUUUGUACACCAGCCCAUUUUAAUUCUUCAGAUAAAUUAACUGUGGAAUUGUGUGAGUCAAUACAUGGUGAUAGGCUAAAAGAAAUGUCUGUUCCCCUAAAGACAUCUGUGUUCCAGUCCUUAGCACCUGUUAUCAUGUAGUCUUACACAUAAGGAUUUUGCAGGAGUGACCCAGUGAAGGAUUCUAAGAUAGGGAGAGUCCCCAGAGUUAUCUAGGUAGGUUUCAGAAUGCCAUUGCCAGGAGUGCUUGGGAGAGGAAGGAGGAUAGGAUCAGGAGUGAAAAUACCAUGCUGCCCACGGUAGUCUGAGACAGAGUAGGGCUAGGAGUCAGGAAAGGGGGGUUUCCUUAGAUGCUGGAGAAGAGAAGACAAGGAAUCAGCACACACAUU